rnacentral:lncRNA from 1 species
ACAGAAGAAAAGGAUAACUAUGCAAUAAAAAUGAUGGCAACGAUGGAAGAUUUUAAUGCCUUUGAAAGAGAGUUGUUAGACGAACAGAAACGUUCAAUCAUGAGAAAAUCUUUACGUCAAGUCCGUGGUUUGGAUGCGAAAGACCAAGUAAAAAUGAUACUGGAAAGACUGUUUACCGUUGGACUUCUGUCCCAAUUUAACUUAGUGGGGACAAAUAGAAAAGACCGCGGUGGAAAUAAGAGGGGGUU